UACGUAGGGCGCGAGCGUUGUCCGGAAUUAUUGGGCGUAAAGAGCUCGUAGGCGGCCUGUUGCGUCCGCUGUGAAAGCCCGGGGCUUAACUCCGGGUCUGCAUUCGAUACGGGCAGGCUAGAGUUCGGUAGGGGAGAUCGGAAUUCCUGGUGUAGCGGUGAAAUGCGCAGAUAUCAGGAGGAACACCGGUGGCGAAGGCGGAUCUCUGGGCCGAUACUGACGCUGAGGAGCGAAAGCGUGGGGAGCGAACAGG
rnacentral:rRNA from 1 species